rnacentral:rRNA from 1 species
GAUGAACGCUAGCUACAGGCUUAACACAUGCAAGUCGAGGGGCAGCGCAGUGUAGCAAUACAUGGGCGGCGACCGGCGCACGGGUGCGUAACGCGUAUCCAACCUUCCCGUUACUCUUGGAUAGCCUUCCGAAAGGGAGAUUAAUACAAGAUGGUAUUCAAAUUCCGCAUGUUAUUUGAAUUAAAGAUUAAUCGGUAACGGAUGGGGAUGCGUGACAUUAGAUAGUAGGCGGGGUAACGGCCCACCUAGUCUACGAUGUCUAGGGGUUCUGAGAGGAAGGUCCCCCACACUGGAACUGAGACACGGUCCAGACUCCUACGGGAGGCAGCAGUGAGGAAUAUUGGUCAAUGGUCGGAAGACUGAACCAGCCAAGUAGCGUGAAGGAUGAAGGUUCUAUGGAUUGUAAACUUCUUUAUACGGGAUAAAACCUCCCACGUGUGGGAGCUUGUAUGUACCGUAUGAAUAAGCAUCGGCUAACUCCGUG